UGCCAGCCGCCGCGGUAAUACGGAGGGGGCAAGCGUUGUUCGGAAUUACUGGGCGUAAAGGGCGUGUAGGCGGCCGACCAAGUCGGGUGUGAAAGCCCUCGGCUCAACCGAGGAAUUGCACUCGAUACUGAUUGGCUAGAGUCCGGGAGGGGGUAGCGGAAUUCCCAGUGUAGCGGUGAAAUGCGUAGAUAUUGGGAAGAACACCAGUGGCGAAGGCGGCUACCUGGACCGGAACUGACGCUGAGGCGCGAAAGCUAGGGGAGCGAAUGGGAUUAGAUA
rnacentral:rRNA from 1 species